rnacentral:rRNA from 1 species
CAAGUCGGACGAGAUUUUUCGUUGUAGCAAUACGAUGGAAAGUCUAGUGGCGAACGGGUGCUUAACACGUGGGCAACCUGCCAUGAAGUGGGGGACAGCUCGCCGAAAGGCGAAUUAAUACCGCAUGUGAUUAGAGAGGACAUCCUUUCGAAAUCAAAGUCGGGGCAACCUGACGCUUCUUGUGGGGCCCGCGGCCUAUCAGCUAGUUGGUGAGGUAACGGCUCACCAAGGCUUUGACGGGUAGCUGGUCUGAGAGGACGACCAGCCACACUGGGACUGAGACACGGCCCAGACACCUACGGGUGGCAGCAGUCGAGAAUUUUUGACAAUGGGGGAAACCCUGAUCGAGCGACGCCGCGUGGAGGAUGAAGGUCUUCGGAUUGUAAACUCCUGUCAUUGGGGAACAAUGCACAGAUAUUAACUGUAUUUGUGUUGAUAGUACCCGAAGAGGAAGAGACGGCUAACUCUGUGCCAGCAGCCGCGGUAAUACAGAGGUCUCAAGCGUUGUUCGGAUUCAUUGGGCGUAAAGGGUGCGUAGGCGGCGCGGUAAGUCGGAUGUGAAAUCUCGGAGCUUAACUUCGAAACUGCAUUCGAUACUGCCGUGCUUGAGGACUGGAGAGGAGACUGGAAUUUACGGUGUAGCGGUGAAAUGCGUAGAUAUCGUAAGGAAGACCAGUGGCGAAGGCGGGUCUCUGGACAGUUCCUGACGCUGAGGCACGAAGGUCAGGGGAGCAAACGGGAUUAGAUACCCCGGUAGUCCUGACAGUAAACGGUGCACGUUUGGUGUGGGAGGAUUCGACCCCUUCUGCGCCGGAGCUAACGCGUUAAACGUGCCGUCCUGGGG